rnacentral:rRNA from 13 species
ACCAACGUCCAUACCAUGCUGAAUACGCCGGUUCUCGUCCGAUCACCGAAGUUAAGCAGCAUCGGGCGUGGUUAGUACCUGGGAACACCGCGUGCUGUUGGCA